rnacentral:rRNA from 1 species
CCUACGGGAGGCUGCAGUGAGGAAUAUUGGUCAAUGGUCGGGAGACUGAACCAGCCAAGCCGCGUGAGGGAUGAAUGUCCAGAGUAUCGUCAACCUCUUUUGUCAGGGCACAAAGGCAGGGACGUGUCCCCGGAUGAGUGUACCUGAAGAAAAAGCAUCGGCUAACUCCGUGCCAGCAGCCGCGGUAAUACGGAGGAUGCGAGCGUUAUCCGGAUUUACUGGGUGUAAAGGGAGCGUAGACGGUGCAGCAAGUCUGAUGUGAAAGGUCGGGGCCCAACCCCGAGACUGCAUUGGAAACUGUUGAACUGGAGUACAGGAGAGGUAAGCGGAAUUCGUAGUGUAGCGGUGAAAUGCGUAGAUAUUAGGAGGAACACCAGUGGCGAAGGCGGCUUACUAGACUGUAACUGACGUUGAGGCUCGAAAGCGUGGGGAGCAAACAGGAUUAGAUACCCGUGUAGUC